rnacentral:rRNA from 1 species
UACGUAGGGUGCGAGCGUUGUCCGGAAUUAUUGGGCGUAAAGAGCUCGUAGGCGGUCUGUCGCGUCGGUCGUGAAAACUUGGGGCUUAACCCUGAGCUUGCGGUCGAUACGGGCAUGACUGGAGUUCGGCAGGGGAGACUGGAAUUCCUGGUGUAGCGGUGAAAUGCGCAGAUAUCAGGAGGAACACCAAUGGCGAAGGCAGCACUCUGGGACGGUACUGACGCUGAGACGCGAAAGCGUGGGGAGCAAACAGG